rnacentral:rRNA from 12 species
CGACUGUCUAAUUAAAACAAAGCAUUGUGAUGGCCCUAGCGGGUGUUGACACUAUGUGAUUUCUGCCCAAUGCUCUGAAUGUCAAAGUGAAAAAAUUCAAGUAAGCGCGGGUAAACGGCGGGAGUAACUAUGAUUCUCUUAACCUUCGGGAACUGAUUCUUAAGAGAUCAUGGAAGUGCCUACAUCACACCUCUUCGUGGUGCCUGCCAGUAACGAUCAUGAUGAAUGGUCGGCUAAGUUGAUGAGGCCUAGGAUGUUCUCAUGGGUUGCCAUCGCUGAACAUCCUUAAUCACUUGGUACAACUACAAAUAACAAUAUAGUUACGGGCCUGGAUAACCCGACGUCAAUGGUACCUGCCACUGACAACCAAGUGACAAUAAGAAUUGAUGAAACACCGA